rnacentral:rRNA from 1 species
CCUACGGGUGGCAGCAGUGGGGAAUAUUGGACAAUGGGGGCAACCCUGAUCCAGCCAUGCCGCGUGUGUGAAGAAGGCCCUCGGGUUGUAAAGCACUUUCAGUGAGGAAGAACGCCUGGUGGUUAAUACCCAUCAGGAAAGACAUCACUCACAGAAGAAGCACCGGCUAACUCCGUGCCAGCAGCCGCGGUAAUACGGAGGGUGCGAGCGUUAAUCGGAAUUACUGGGCGUAAAGCGCGCGUAGGUGGCUUGAUAAGCCGGUUGUGAAAGCCCCGGGCUCAACCUGGGAACGGCAUCCGGAACUGUCAAGCUAGAGUGCAGGAGAGGAAGGUAGAAUUCCCGGUGUAGCGGUGAAAUGCGUAGAGAUCGGGAAGAAUACCAGUGGCGAAGGCGGCCUUCUGGACUGACACUGACACUGAGGUGCGAAAGCGUGGGUAGCAAACAGGAUUAGAUACCCUUGUAGUC